AAAUUCUGACAGUCCAACCAUGUUUUGCUUGUUACUAUUUUAAAUUUAGAAAUAAACAAGAUCAAAAACUUUUGUUCAGUCCUGUAUGCUCCCCUGGACUGUGGAUGAUCCAGCCAUUGGUGUCAAGAGCAGCUCGCAGUAGCUGUGCUCACACCUCAGUUCCCCACAGGGGCUGGGAUCUUGUUCAGACUGGCUGCAGUGAAGAGGCAUUCCAGGGCAGGGAAGCUGAGCCAGGCCAUUUUUGGAAAGAUUUCACUUCCUUCAACUAAAAAAGGACAUCAUUUGAGCUCUCAGCCUCUCCAGUGUUGGCAAAUCUUGAAAACAUGGACAAGGCCUCAGUAAAACUUUGGGAGAAGAUACUGUCUGGAAAAGUAAACCCAGUCUAUCCCAAAGUAAUUAUUUGUUAAAUAAAUA
rnacentral:lncRNA from 1 species